rnacentral:lncRNA from 1 species
GAGAGAAUUACACAAUCUAUCUUUCCAUUGCAUUUGACCUAGAACUAUGGAAUCCUUUGAUUAAUAACAUGGUAUCAGAGCGCUAUGGAGAUAGCGAUUUUGAUUCAGUUUAUGAUGAAGAAGAUGAUUCUGAUGGUGAUGAAGAAGAAGAUCUUGAAGCUUCCGCAUCAGCAACCUUGAGUUCUUCAGCUUCGCAAUUUUCAGUUGUUUUCGGUAGUUUUGGCGAUUCGGUUUCUACUCCUCCUUCUUCAUCAUGGAUCGCACCAGAAAUUGAUGGAUUCACCAUCAAGAUCGGUGCAGUUCCUUGUUUUCUGGUUGAUUCAUGUUGCAGCAAUCACGACUCUGCUUUUGACGCUUCGGAAGAAAACCAGAAAACACCAAUUCUUGAUUCGGAGUUGAUGGUUUCUGCAAAAUCAAUGAAUUCGAACAAUCGCGAAUCUGAGUUCCAUGUUUCUGAAGCCGCGUUCAAGCAAUCGAACCUCGGCAAUAAAACCAUAAGCGCUUUUAGAAUUCCAAGAGCCUCGGCAAUAUUCUGGGAGUUGAUCCAUUCCAGCACUUCCAAAUUGUUGAAAAUCAAACCUGAAUUGUAAAAAAACACCGCCAUUAAGGAAACAAUAUAUAACAACAAAAUCAAUACAGCUCACGCUCACGCAUACAAUUGAAUCAACAGAAAAACACAGUGGAUAAAUAUAUUUUUAAUACCAUCGAUAAACAGAACAAAACACACUUUAUUUAUAAGUGUUAAUGUUACACAGCAUGCAAAAAGAAGUUGACUUCAGCAAUUGUUAUAGGUUUGACUCCUCUAAAGUGAAUUUUAUCCUCUAAAGUUUGCUCCUAUUUUUAGAGUAGACGCGUUCUUCUGGAACAAUCCCAAAGCCCGUCUAAUAAUUAUAAUUGCAUUGUACAUGUUUAAAUGAAAAGUAACAUUACAUUGUUCAUACAACCGUUUUCAACCUUUUCUUUCUGUUCAGUAAAUCCAUCUAUUUAACUAGUUACAAUGCAGAUAUCGUUAAGUGACUAGAACUUAGGACAAUCGAUGAUAGUGCUUGUCAAAUUAUGUUGGUCUUGUGAAAAUGAUUAAAAAUCUGGAUAGACAUAUUAGACAGAAAUAAUCUUACUGACAUUCAAAAAAGACACUAGAGUAGUGUACAUGCUUCAACAGUCUUAAUAAAUAGCAUGUCUUUUGCAUUACUCUUUCGCAUUACAUGGUAUUUUCCUACAUUACUAUGUUUAGGCAAUGU